AAGCAGAGGGGGCUUAGUGGUGGGGUGACUGCGUACCUUUUGUAUAAUGGGUCAGCGACUUAUAUUCUGUAGCAAGGUUAACCGUAUAGGGGAGCCGGAGGGAAACCGAGUCUUAACCGGGCGUUAAGUUGCAGGGUAUAGACCCGAAACCCGGUGAUCUAGCCAUGGGCAGGUUGAAGGUUGGGUAACACUAACUGGAGGACCGAACCGACUAAUGUUGAAAAAUUAGCGGAUGACCUGUGGCUGGGGGUGAAAGGCCAAUCAAACCGGGAGAUAGCUGGUUCUCCCCGAAAGCUAUUUAGGUAGCGCCUCGUGAAUUCAUCUCCGGGGGUAGAGCACUGUUUCGGCUAGGGGGCCAUCCCGGCUUACCAACCCGAUGCAAACUGCGAAUACCGGAGAAUGUUAUCACGGGAGACACACGGCGGGUGCUAACGUCCGUCGUGAAGAGGGAAACAACCCAGACCGCCAGCUAAGGUCCCAAAGUCAUGGUUAAGUGGGAAACGAUGUGGGAAGGCCCAGACAGCCAGGAUGUUGGCUUAGAAGCAGCCAUCAUUUAAAGAAAGCGUAAUAGCUCACUGGUCGAGUCGGCCUGCGCGGAAGAUGUAACGGGGCUAAACCAU
rnacentral:rRNA from 1 species